rnacentral:lncRNA from 1 species
CCUGUCUCGUUCCUAAAGGCAGAGAUGAUCUCCGUCACUGCCAAACUGCCCACGUCCUCCUCGUCUCUCAUUCCUCUUGACCUCGUCAUGCUCAAAGGAUGACAACCCUGUCCAAGAGCAGAGAUGAGGCAGCCAAUGGAAACCUUCUGUCAACCCGCUGUGCUCUUCCCACCACAGCGAGCCAAGGAAGAUGUCCUCUGGGGUACCAUCGGGGUCAGGGCCCCUCUGACUCAACCCCCAGAUGACCUAACAAUAGCAAGAAGAGCACAGAACACUCCAGGAGUCAGAAAGCCUGCCCAUAAAUGCAGGGAGGAACAGCAGGGCAGGAUCAGGAGACUACAGCAGAUGACAGGCCACUAUGUCCCCAAUAAACGGGCAGAAUACUACAAUGGCGGAUCCCAGAGCAGGUUCUGAAGGGCACCAAGUCUACACGAGGAAAGUCUGCACAGGAACAAAAUGAAGGCAUUUGGGUCCUAUAAAACUGAAGGCCCACUACUACAGCAUGAGAGCCGGAUCCCAGAGGAUGGUCUGAGCAGAGUAUCAGACACAGUGUACGCAUCUCCCCAGAGCUGUCCAGCCUCCUCUGCCCCCCGGGCCACGACCACUUCACCUUCUCGCACUGUUAGCUGUCUUGACCUCCCUCUUGGUGAAGCCCAGACUCUGCUAGAAGCAACAGCAGCUCAAGUGCCCAGAUAUAACCCAACCAGAUCCACAGAGCUCUAGCUUCUCCAGAGCUGCCCUCAGAAACCAGGUGACAAACCUAGAACUGCAAGGGAAUUAAUGCCCCUUGGGGCCAACAUUGAGAGGGCUCUCUCCACAGCUUUAUGUCAGCCAUGGAAGGAUAAAGAACUCAUCAAGAGAAGGUGGAGUUCAUCGCAGUGGCCUGAGCUUGUAUUCCAGAGACUAAUGCUUUCACCCGCCCCAGAGCCUUUCAUGUGGGUCUCAGUGGAAGAUCCUGCUUUUUAAAGACAUUUUCAAAAGGAAACAAUUCAUAAAGCCUAAGUAAAAAGGAAACAAGUGUUCUUAAGCUUUUGUCCCUCCCUGUUCAACCAUUUUCUGGCUGUCCUAGGUGAGGACCCUCCUGGGCACACCAUGGGGUGGGCAGUGCCAGCCUGCACGCUUCACAGCAGGAGCGCCCCCUCCCCUAGGCCUUGGGAGAAGCCCUUGGAUGCGCGUGACUUU